CAUGCAAGUCGAACGAGCGAGAGAGAGCUUGCUUUCUCGAGCGAGUGGCGAACGGGUGAGUAACGCGUGAGGAAUCUGCCUCAAAGAGGGGGACAACAGUUGGAAACGACUGCUAAUACCGCAUAAGCCCACGGUGCCGCAUGGCACAGAGGGAAAAGGAGUAAUCCGCUUUGAGAUGGCCUCGCGUCCGAUUAGCUAGUUGGUGAGGUAACGGCCCACCAAGGCGACGAUCGGUAGCCGGACUGAGAGGUUGAACGGCCACAUUGGGACUGAGACACGGCCCAGACUCCUACGGGAGGCAGCAGUGGGGAAUAUUGCACAAUGGGGGAAACCCUGAUGCAGCGACGCCGCGUGGAGGAAGAAGGUCUUCGGAUUGUAAACUCCUGUUGUUGGGGAAGAUAAUGACGGUACCCAACAAGGAAGUGACGGCUAACUACGUGCCAGCAGCCGCGGUAAAACGUAGGUCACAAGCGUUGUCCGGAAUUACUGGGUGUAAAGGGAGCGCAGGCGGGAAGACAAGUUGGAAGUGAAAUCUAUGGGCUCAACCCAUAAACUGCUUUCAAAACUGUUUUUCUUGAGUAGUGCAGAGGUAGGCGGAAUUCCCGGUGUAGCGGUGGAAUGCGUAGAUAUCGGGAGGAACACCAGUGGCGAAGGCGGCCUACUGGGCACCAACUGACGCUGAGGCUCGAAAGUGUGGGUAGCAAACAGGAUUAGAUACCCUGGUAGUCCACACCGUAAACGAUGAUUACUAGGUGUUGGAGGAUUGACCCCUUCAGUGCCGCAGUUAACACAAUAAGUAAUCCACCUGGGGAGUACGACCGCA
rnacentral:rRNA from 1 species